AGCAUCCCUGCAUGCAGCAUGUAUGUGUGGGACUCUUGCAUUCCGAAUCGAAUCUGUGCAAAGAUGGUCCUCAGAUCUGCCGUCUUCCCUUAGGGGUCUUCCAAGAGAAACACCCGCCAACUCAAUCCCUCCCUGACCAAGAGACACUGGAGCCUUCAGAUACAUCAGGAGGAGAAGCUGAAUUGAGCACAGUUUCACAAAUAUCUGUGACUUGUAGAUUCCAUGCUGCAGAAAACCAUCAGCAGAAACAGGAGGCUGACCUUGCUGGCCAGAACAAAGAACAAUCUGAUCUCUCUCCUUUACCCUUGAAAAUGCCAUUAAGGGAUUCGGCUUUCCUCUGAGGAGUCCAUAUACAUCCCUAUUAAUCUUCAGGGCAACGUCAACAUGAAAAUGAUCCGAGCCUGGCCGAUGACUGCAUAGGUCUGCUUGCAAGAGAUUCACAGAGGUCCACACAAGUCAUCCCACUUAAGGGAUCUUCCUUCUGUCUUCACCCACACCUCCUCUGCACACAGCUCUCCGCCUCCCUGGGGUUCAUUGUAGCCAUCUUUCUGAGACAAGGGUCAGUUCAGAGGGCAGUUGUUGCCUCCUCUCUCUCCAGGAAACAAGCUCUCCUCAUAAGGAUUCUUUUUCCCAGCAAGCAAAGAUGACCUGGAAAUUUGACAGUACCAGAGUUACAGACUACUCUUUCUCAAGAGAGAAAUAUUACCUUAUAGAAACCAGCUUUUAUCCUGCUGUGAAACUGUACUGUGUUCUGCGGAUUGUCUCUGAUUAGAGCCAGGUGAACUGGGGGAAGCUCGGAGGGCUGUCUUCUGCACACCUCAAAGGCAGCUGGAAUCGUAUGUGACC
rnacentral:lncRNA from 1 species